GUAGCUAUUAUUUUGGACAAACUACAUUCAUAAGAUCCAUUAAGAAUAGCAAAAAUAACUUUUUUAUUUUACUUUCCCUUAUUCCUUCUCCAGUGCUCGUCCUUUCUUCACAUAGAUCUGAGUUUCUGAUCAAUAUAAUUUUUCUUCUCUCUGAAGAAUUUUUGACAUUUCUUGACAGUCGGGUCUACUGGUAACAAAUUCCCUCAAUUUUUGUUUAUCUGAGGAAGUUUUUCUUUCUCCCUCAGCUUUGAAGGAUAAUUCCUAGAGCAUCGGAUUCUAGACUGGUGGGUAACAUUCUCUCAACACUUUAAAAUACUCUGCUCUGUCCUCUUCCUUCUUGUUUUCUGAGGAGAAAUUGGAAUAAUUCUUGUCUUUGCUUCUCUAUAAAUAAAGUGCCCCCCACUGCUUCUUUCAAGAAUUUUUUUCUUUGUCUUUGAUUUCUUGGAGUUUGAAUGUGAUGUCUACUGCGUGUAGUUUUUUUGUUUGUCUGUCUGUUUGGGCAUUUACCCUGCUUGAUGUUCUAUGAGCUUCCUGUGGUUUGGUGUCUGUCAUUAAUUUGGAGAAAUUCCUAGUCAUUGUGACUUCAAAUAUUGUUCCUAUUUCCUUCUCCUUUCCAUCUCCUCUGGUAUUGCCAUCACAUUUGUAUUACACCUUUUCUAGUUGUCCCACAGCUCUUGGAUAUUCUAUUGUACUUUUUCCAGCCUUACUCUUUGCUUUUCACUUUUAGAAGUUUCUGUUGAGAUAUUCUCAAAUUCAGAGAUUCUGUCCUCAGCCAUGCCAAGCCUAUUAAUGAGCCUAUCAAAGGUAUUCUUCGUGACUGUUACAAUGUUUUUGAUCUCCAGCUUUUCUUUUUUACUCUUAGAAUUUUCCCACUUGUACAACGCAUCUUUCUUAUGCAUUGGUUUAUUUUUAUAUUAAGUCCUUAGCGUAUGAAUGAUAAUUUUUAAAAAUUCCUAGUCUGAUCAUUUAAACGUUCCUGACUCAGAUUCUGAUGCUUGUUCAAUUUCUUCAAACUGUGUUUUUGGACUUUUAGUAUGCCUUGUAACUUUUUUUUUUUUAAGCCAGGAAUGAUGUGCUAGGUAAAAGGAACUGCCUUAAAGAGGCACUGGAGAAGGCGAUGGCAUCCCACUCCAGUACUCUUGCCUGGAAAAUCCCAUGGACGGAAAAGCUUGGUAGGCUACAGCCCAUGGGGUCUCGAAGAGUCGGACACGACUGAGCGACUUCACUUUCACUUUUCACUUUCAUGCAUUGGAGAAGGAAAUGGCAACCCCCUCCAGUGUCCUUGCCUGGAGAAUCCCAGGGACGGCAGAGCCUGGUGGGCUACCGUCUAUGGGGUCGCACAGAGUCGGACACGACUGAAGCGACUUAGCAGCAGCAGCAAUGCAUUGGUAAGACAUGCAGGGAGGGACUAAAGACAUGCGUUCUUUAGUCCCAUGGUUAGGUCUCAGACUUUUGGUGAGUCCAUGCCCCUGGUCUGUGAACUUCACCAAUGCAUCUGUUUCUCUCCCUCAACUUUGGUGGGACAGGAUGGCUAGAGAAUGCUGAAGUUAGUAUUUUCCUUCUGGAAGGCUAAAAAAGAUGAAACUGAGUAUUUCUCUCCACCUAGGUCAAUUAGGCUCUGAUAAAACCCUAGCAAAUUCGUCUCUAGUAAAUAGUUUUGCUUGAAUACAGGCUUGUUAAGAACAGAGUUCUCCCACACAUUUCAAAGUGGCUCCUUUUUCCAGCCCCUGCUGGAAGUACAAGGGGAUUUUUCUCCAUUAUCCACUGAUGGAUCCUCUGAAGAGAAGACGCAAAAAAUGUAGGGACCCCCAUGUCUGUGAAUUAAACUGGUGGAGAGUGUAAUUCACAGACUUGUCCACACUGAGCUUCCAACUAUUUGUCAAUUACAAUUCAGGUUUUCCUAUCGCUGCACUGAUUUCUGCAGAGGUUUCUGCUCUGUUAACUUGUGAUUUUCUGCAUCCUCCUGUUUAUUUCUCCAAUUUUUGGAGCAGAAAUUUGCCUCAUUUCGCUAAUGAAUAUAAGAAGAUUUGUUGAUAUUUCAGUUUAUUCAGCUUUUUAUUUAUUUUGAUGCAGUGGCUACUGCUAAGUUCUAUAGAUGGCAAACCAGAAACUAAAAGUCUCUUGGUUUUCUUUUCUUGUCCUUUUUUUGUCUGGUUUGGGUACAACAGGGUAAUACUAGUUUCAUCAAAUGAGUUGGAAACUGUUCUCUCUUGUACGUUCUGGAAAAGAUGAUGUAAAUUUUAUGUUAAUUAUUUUAAGUGUUUGGAAGAAUUCUCCAGCACAGAAUUGAAUAUUUCUUUUUCAGAAGCUUUUAAAGUUACAAACUCAAUUUCUUUAGCGGUUAUAGGGCUAUUCCAAUUAUUAAUUUUAUCUUGGUUGAGUUUUGGUAGUUUGUGGUGUUUGAGGAAUUGAUCCAUUUCUUUUACGUUGUUGAAUUUAUGAAACAUGAAUUUGCUCAGUGUAUUUGCUUAUUACCUUUUUAGUGGCUGCAGGAUUCAUAGUGACGCUUGUCUCAUUUCUGAUAUUGAUCAUCUAUGUCUUCUUUAUAUCUAUGUCAGUCUUGCCAGAUGUUUAUGAAUUUUAUUGAUGUCUUUAAAGAACCAACUUGUUCUUUCAUUGAUUUUUCUCUAUUGUUUUCCUUUUUAAAUUUCAAUGAUUUCUGCUCCAACCUUUAAUAUUUCCUCCUGGUUACUUUGGGUCUAAUUUUGCUCUUUUCCUAGAUUCAUGAAGUGAGAACAUAGAUUUUUGAUUUGAAAUGCUUCUUUUCUAAAGUGGUAAGCAUUUCAUGUUAUAUAUUUCCCUUUCAGUCCCACUUUAGCUGCACCUCACAUUUAUUGAUGUUGUAUCUUAAUUUUCAUUUAAACUCUAUGUAAUUGUUUAUUUCCUUUGUAUUUCCUCUUUGCCUCAUGGGUUAUUUUGAAGUAUGCUAUUUAAUUUCCAAAUAUUUGGUGAUUUUUCCUGUUUUCUUUCUGCUCUUUAGAUUUUAAUAAUUCUCUCCGGAAGAACAGACUUUUUCCAUUUAUCCUACCAGUCUAUCAUUAAUGAUGAGAACAGGACAAUAGCUUGUGCUCAAAAAAUGAAUAUGAAUGAAUGAUCUAAAUACGUAAUUUAAAAAUCAGUAAAGAGAAAGCUGAAAGUCAGAGAGGGGAGAGAGAGGCAUCAGAAAAUUUCAGUGAUGAUUACUGCUGCGUGGGGAAAUAUGGACGCCUUUUUCUGGUUUGUUUUCAGAUUUUUCCAAAUUCUCUGUGAUGAGCAUGUGCUACUUUUAUAAUCAGAUAAAGGAAUUAUAGAAGUGGAAGCUACUCUUUCUGAUGAUUCUCACUCCCUCUGUGGCAGGUCAAACCAGACUCUAAAUUGCUGAAAAAAACUGAAGAUGAGAGGCAGGAUGACAAAAAGACCCUGUAGAAGGUCCUGGAUCUAAAUUGACCCCAGCCCCCCAGGGAGACAGGUAAGGACCCUGCCAGCCAUCCCAGGUUCCCAGGUGGCUCAGUGAUAAAGAAUCCACCUGCAAUGCAGGAGAUGCGGGUUCGCUCCCUGGAUCAGGAAGAUCCCCUGGAGAAGGGAAUGGCAAACCCACUCCAGUAUUCUUGCCUGGGAAAUCCCAUGGACAGAGGAGCAUGGUGGGCUAUAUAUAGUUCAAGGGAUCCCAAGAGUCGGACACAACUUAGUGGUUAAACAACAAACAACAAGCCGUCCACUUCCAUAACCUUCUGAGGCUGCUGCUACAGAAACUGUCAUGACCAUUUUGAGUCACAAGGGUCAAUUUCACACUUCUUUUCUCACCCCACCCCCAAAGGUCCCUAGAGAUAUCUUAUGAAUUAAUGUUCAUCCCAAAAGAUCUGGUUUGCCAUUAGAAAUGAAACAUCUGUUCACUAAGUCCAGCCUUCAAAAUUCCUUUGACAGUUUGUUUUGAGGAAGCAGUAUUGGCUUUUGCUUCCAGGGUUCCUGGUGUGCAAAAGAUUACAAAGAGUAAGAGGGAACAGAGAGGAGACACUGUCUUCUUGAAUGUAAUUGUCUUUUACACCUUUAGUCACAGCCUCCUUGUGUUUUUUGAAGGCAAUUUCUUUGAGAAGCUGAGCAGACAAAACAAUUUGAUGGUAACCCCAGGGGCCCAUGGUCGUCACCCACACAAGUCCUCAGGUGUGGACAGUUUCCGAAGAUGAGUGAAUAUGCUUUCCUACUUAAGAAAACAAUCCUGAGAACUUGGUUUAAUUUUUCUUUUUUUCAUUCAACAAAGACAUUGCCUAGACCUGGAAACUUUUUUUCACCCUUUCCUAAUUUUGAAGUGAAGUGACUUGCUAUAAGGUCAGGAGUUACCUGGGGGUCCAGGAUUGGGUAAGUAUAUAACCUGAUGCCUGGGGAUGGUAGAGGGUACCAUUCCUGGAGGAUGCUCCCUACACAGUGGGAGGGGAGUAUGGCAGCAGCUACAUUCUCCCUGGAGCUGAGCCAAAGAAGCAUCAGAAUCAGCAAGCAUAUCUGUAUCAACUUGUCAGAGUCUUAAAGAAUAGCCAAGGCCGUGAGAAUCUAGAACAUAAUGGCAUAAUCUGAUGGAGUUAUGGGGGAGAACAAGAAACCACGCCCCAGUAACAGUUCAUAUCAAAUAACACAAGCAAUUCUGUGUUGAAAUGAGCCAGAAAUAGAAUAUUGUGAUAUAAACCAGUCUGUCCAUUUAAAAAAUCAUUUGAUUUCCGUAAUUCCUGGGCACCUGAUUUGACUUUUUUUUAAUUUCUGAUUUUGUUGCUAUUGCUGACUUGACCGAUUUGAACUGCAUAUGUCAAAAGGCAUAGAGCUGUUUAGUCAUUUGAUUUUUAUCGACACUUACUGUUCAGUUAAAUUCAAAACAUCAAUUUUUCCUCCAGGACUGUCCAAUGGAGACCACCCUUGCCCACUGUGGAGACUGUUCGCAAAACAGUUCAGGCUGUCUGCUUUCUGAGUGUGUAAGGGGUCUGCUUCCCCAUGUGUAAACUUAGAUGUGGUUAUGAGUCUUGCUUUGGCCAAUGAGAUGUGUGCAAAAGUGACACUUUGGGCAGAAACCUCAGGCCAGUGUGUAAUUCACUCCAUCUUCCCUCUUCUGCUGUGGUUGUAGAUGUGUCAAGAUGAGGCCAUUCAGUGGGACAAAGCAGUAGUUAGGGAGUCUGGGAUGGACAUGUACACACUGCUUAUAUUCAACAUGGAUGACCAAUAAGGACUUACGGUACAGUACAAGGAACUCUGCUCAAUGUUGUCUGGCAGCUUGGGUAGGAGGAGAAUCUGGGGGAGAAUGGAUACCGUUUUAUGUAUGGCUGAGUCCCUUUGCUGUCCACCUGAAACUAUCACAUGGCUAAUCAGCUAUACUCCAAUACAAAAGGCCAGUUAAAAAAAAGAUGAAGCCCUUCUGGGUCCUAAAACAACUGUAUCCUGCAGAUCACCCCUUGCUGACCUGUAACGGACCGGUAGCGUGAGUGGGAAGCAUUCACUGUGUAAAAUUGCUAAGAUCUGGUGGUUGUUACUGCAGUAUAACCUAGUCCAUCCUCGCUGAUGUGCACAUGCAGACAUGCUCACACACACACACAUUUACUGAGAACCUGUGCGUGCAAGAGAGGGGCCCAGGGCCAUGGGUGAAGUGGGGGGGGGGCGGCAGGGGUGCAAGGUAAGAUGCAGUUUCUGUCCCCAGUUUACAAGCGGGUUUGGCAGGUUAGAUAACUAGACAGCAUAGCAUGAUAAUGACACGAGUGGGCAGUUCAAGGGCAAAUGACGAGAUAUUCAUGUGGCUGCAGCCUUAAGAAGGAAUUCGUUGGUGGGGUCUAGGAUGAAUGUGAGAAUGCCUGCUGUGCUGGUAUCACGUCUUGGCCCCUCCACAGUCUCCCUCUGUCCUUCUCACCUUGCUCUCGGCCUGGCCACACUGAACUGACUGUACCACCUGCCUAAGUUCCUUCUGCUCUGGCUCCUGGUCAGGUUGAAACAACAUGGGGCACAGGGUGAGUGCCCAGCAGAAGACCGGAAACAAGGAGGACAGUGAAGCUAAAAUGGGUAUUCCUCUGACUGCCUUCUCCCAGCUGUGCUCCAGCUGGCUGCACCCUGGGCUGAAAUCUCAGGCUCCCUCGGUGACCCUCCCCACUUGACGGAGACAAAGACUGAUUGCAUCCGCAAACAGCAGAGGUUUCUCAUUACCAUCGUGGGGAGAGGCAGGACUGUUGAGAAGAAGGAGCGUCUCAGGAAAGGAGCAGGGCGAUCCUGUGGCCAGCAGGCACAGUGUCUGGCCUGCGCGUUUGCACUUCUAACAAGCUCCUAGCUGAGGGCGAUUUGCUGGUCCAUGGAACCGACUGAGAAUAAGUAACGAGGCAUGGGAGGAUGUGCCUUGGCUCAGCACCGCUUCCACUUGCCUCUGGACGGCUCUAAAAUGAUAGUGAGUGUAGACGAUCCAAUUUGACAGCCUGGGAAGUUUGGUGAAAUGACCCAAGCCUUGGCCUGGUGACUGAGGGACUGCACCAGGAGCUCCUGCAGACUCCCUGGCUCUCUCCCCUGAGUGAGCAAUGUGCAAGAGCAGGUUGGGGUCAGCCGUCGCCAGGAAAAAAGAGACUGGUCACCAGGCACAAGUGUGUAGGGAGCGUACCUUCAUGAAUUUACCACAUCCCUGGACCUUGUUGCCGUUGUUCAGUCCCUCAGUCAUGCCCGACUCUGUGGCCCCAUGAACUGCAGCCCACCAGGUUCCUCUGUUCUUGGGAUUCCCCAGGCAAGAAUAUUGGAGAGGGCUACCAUUUCCUCCUCCAGGGGAUCUUCCCAACCCAAGGAUCGAACCUGCGUCUCCUGUGCCUCCUGCAUUGCCUGCUAACAGUGGCUCAGCAGUAAAGAAUCCCUGGACUCAUAGGCUUCCAAACUCCCCACUCCCCACUAACACACCCAAUCAUUUCUUCAACAAACACAAUCAUUUCAUUUCUUCAACAAACACUGAGUGAGCAUCUAUUAUCCCAGACCCAGCGCCCAGCACUGGGGGUUCAGAUGAAGAAGCAGAAUAUGUUCUCAUGAAGUUUACUGCACAGCCAGCCCCUGGGAAGGGAUCUGUUUCUCAACGGCACAUGACUGAUGUAUGAAAAAUAAAACUGGGGCUUUAUUGAGGCUUCCAUGGUGGAGCUAGUGGUAAAGAACCCACUUGCCGAUGUAAGAGACACCAGUUCCAUCCCUGGGUAGGGAAGAUCCCCUGGAGAAGGGCAUGGCAACCCACUCCAGUAUUCUUGCCUGGAGAAUCCCAUGGACAGAGGAGCCUGGUGGGCUGCAGUCCCUAAGGUCACAAUGAGUCAGACAUGACUGAAGCAAUUUAGCAUGCACACAUGCUUAUUUAUUAUAAUAUUUAUAAUUACGCUGAUAAUAGCUUAUGUUUUUUUAAAAAGCAAAUAUAUGGGAUAUAUUUGCCCAUGGUGCUAAACUCUUUACAUGGAUCAUCUCAUUCAUCCUCACAACAGCCUAUGUGGCAGGUACUAUUAUUAAGUUCACUUCAAAGAUGAGGAAACUGAAGCUCAGAGAGGUUAGGAAACUUUCCAAAGGAUACCAGUUAGUGAGGAGAGGAGCUGGGAUUCAUGCCUAGGCAGGCCAAUGCCAGUCCAGGCUCUGAGCCUCUAUACCCAUGGGCUGAGUUGGCACUUCUGCUCAUGGGCACAUCCCCUCCCUGCAGGAAGGGUCCAUGGGAAGUCCAGUGAAAGUCAGUGGCUGAGUGAGCUCAAAAUCCAGUGAGUGGAGCAUUGGCUAAUAGGGAUGAUAUUAACCAUGGAGGCAUUGCAUUGUAAAACUUGAUGCCUCUGAUGUACCCAUCUCCCUGAACGGACAGACCUUCGGCACAGACCACUCAAGUUCCUGGCCCAGGGGCCCUCUUUUUCCCUUGGGGAAAGGCAAGAACACACUACUUGGCUUUGCUAAGGCUUGCUGUCUCUUGCCUGGGUCUGCUUAGCUGUACACACACACACAUACACACGCACUCACACAUGAUCAUGCACAACCACAGGUUCAUAUACCCACACACAUGCUCACACUCAGGGGCAUCCACAUACAUACAACCCCACACAAUAGCACACAUACACACAUACAUUCAUACUAACAACACACACGUGCUUCUGAGGACCACAUUCUCCUUUGGGUGUGUUAAUACUAUGAAUCUGGUAAAACAAAGUUCUUCGCCCCUCUCUGCUCUGAACAAUUAUAUUUGUUUCAUAGUUUAACUCUCAGAAGACUAUCUUAUUUAUCUGAACCCAAGUUCCAAUGGGGCCCCUCACUUGGUCCAUGAUUUCUUUCCACUUUUAAAGCCCCCAUGUUAUAUGGCCCCUUCCCUUGACACCCAGGUAUCAGAUAAAAGAAGUCUAAAAUGGUCUGGAGUAUUAUUGCUGGUUGUUUGUUUUAAAAAUAUACUCUCAAUAGCUUCCUCAGUAUCAUCUUUCUAGAUUCCAUAUAUAUAUACGGUAAUAUACAAUAUAUGCUUUUUCUUUCUGACUUACUUCACUCUGUAUAAUAGGCUCUAGGUUCAUUCACCUCAUUAGAACAGACUCAGACGUGUCCCUUUUAAUAGCUGAGUAAUAUUCCUUUGUAUAUAUGUACCACAACUUCUUUCUCCUUUCAUCUGUUGUUGGACAUCUUGGUUGCUUCCAUGUCUUGAAAGUAAAAGUGAAAGUCACUCAGUCAUGUCCAACUCUUUGCGACCCCAUAGACUAUACAGUCCAUGGAAUUCUCCAGGCCAGAAUACUGGAGUGGGUAGCCCUUCCCUUCUCCAGGGAAUCUUCCCAACCUAGGGAUUGAACCCAGGUCUCCCACAAUGCAGGUAGAUUCUUUACCAGCUAAACCACUAGGGAAGCCCAAGAAUACUGGGGUGGGUAGACUAUUCCUUCUCCAGUGGAUCUUCCUGACCCAGAAAUUGAACCAGGGUCUCCUGCAUUGCAGGCAGAUUCUUUACCAGCUGAGCUACCAGGAAAGACUUUCUACGUCCUAGCUAUUGUAAAUAGCACUACUGUGAACAGUGGGGUAUGUAGGUCUUUUUCAGUUAUGGUUUUCUCAGGGUAUAUGACCAGUAGUGGGAUUGUUGGGUCAUAUGGUAGUUUUAUUCCUAGUUUUUAAAGUAAUCUCCAUACACCAAUGGAGAUGCAGACAUAAGAGAACCAACUUGCAGGCAUAGGAGGGGAAGGAGAGGGUGGGACAAAUGGAGAGAGUAACAAGCAAACAUAUACAUUACCAUACGUAAAAUAGAUCGCCAGUGGGAAUUUGCUGUGUGACUCAUGGAGCUCAACCCAGUGCUCU
ensembl:lncRNA